UGGGGAAUAUUGCACAAUGGGCGAAAGCCUGAUGCAGCGACGCCGCGUGAGGGAUGACGGCCUUCGGGUUGUAAACCUCUUUCAGCAGGGACGAAGCGCAAGUGACGGUACCUGCAGAAGAAGCACCGGCUAACUACGUGCCAGCAGCCGCGGUAAUACGUAGGGUGCAAGCGUUGUCCGGAAUUACUGGGCGUAAAGAGUUCGUAGGCGGUUUGUCGCGUCGUUUGUGAAAACCAGCAGCUCAACUGCUGGCUUGCAGGCGAUACGGGCAGACUUGAGUACUGCAGGGGAGACUGGAAUUCCUGGUGUAGCGGUGAAAUGUGCAGAUAUCAGGAGGAACACCGGUGGCGAAGGCGGGUCUCUGGGCAGUAACUGACGCUGAGGAACGAAAGCGUGGGUAGCGAACAGG
rnacentral:rRNA from 1 species